UUGUGGUCUGAGGUCAUAAAAAAGGCUUAGAGAAUUGCUCUUCCGGCUCAUCUUCUCUGAAUCAGCCUGCAAGAAGGACUCAGUACCUCUCUGGGAGAGUACCGAUUGGUCCUGACAGUUCGGAUGACAACCACUUCUAGAAAAGAAGAUCAAAGGUAUCAAACUAAUGUGGUAAUGUGGAGAACUGAAUUUAGGAUUGCAAAAAUGAGGAAAAAUGAAACUGACAUACUAACUCACCCUCACUUGUGGGUAGCCACCGACAUUCUUAAACUUAAGGCAUGCAAUAACCAAGGCAAGUGUAUCUUUCAGUUUCUGUUUGUAUCAUUUUCUCAUUUUUCCAGUGUUAAUGGUUUACA